rnacentral:rRNA from 1 species
GUUGUCGGCCAUACUAUGCCUAAAGCACCAGAUCCCAUCCGAACUCUGAAGUUAAGCGGCAAGCGGCAUAAGGCAAGGUUAGUACUUGGGUGGGAGGCCGCUCCCUUGUGCUGACAACU